UAAUUUAAUGACCCUUGACACCUUUUGGUGAGGUGUUACUCAAUUUUCUGGCAUAAGUUAUAAGUAGUGUGUGUGUGCCCCUCAGAGUCCAAACUGGAGAAGCUAAGAGAAGAUAGUGGAGACCCAAGAUAGUGUUUUCAUCUUCGGCAAUGGAAGUUGUGGGAUAUGGCCAUUCUUCUAAUUCUCUCAGACCCUCACACCCACUUUCUCUCUUCAACUUCAGACCAACCUUCAGCUCGGCUACUUUUAUUUCCUUCAAGAACCAGCCCAUUAAGUGUUUGCAAGUGAGAGCAGUAGCUUCUCCUGCUGGAUUUGAUGAAAUGGUUUCUGGGACCGAGCGUAAGUAUUACAUGCUAGGUGGUAAAGGAGGAGUUGGGAAGACAAGUUGUGCUGCUUCACUUGCUGUAAAAUUUGCAAAUAAUGGUCAUCCCACUUUAGUAGUUUCAACUGAUCCUGCACAUUCCUUAAGUGAUUCUUUUGCCCAGGAUUUGGCUGGCGGGACUCUAGUUCCAGUUGAAGGCCCGGAUUCUCCAUUAUUUGCCCUUGAGUUGAAUCCUGAAAAGGCCAAGGAAGAAUUUCGAAGUGCAACCCAGAUAAGUGGAGGAUCUGGUAUCAAAGACUUUAUGGAUGGUAUGGGCCUUGGAGUGCUUGCUGAACAGCUUGGGGAACUAAAGCUUGGAGAACUGCUGGAUACACCCCCUCCUGGUCUAGAUGAAGCCAUUGCAAUUUCAAAGGUUAUGCAAUUCCUUGAAUCGCAGGAAUAUAAUAUGUUUACUCGUAUAGUGUUUGACACAGCCCCGACGGGACAUACUCUACGGCUCUUGUCCUUGCCAGACUUCUUGGAUAAAUCAAUUGGAAAGAUUUUGAAGUUGAGACAGAAGAUAGCUUCUGCCACUUCAGCAAUAAAGUCUGUCUUUGGCCAGGAAGGAUCGCCCAAGCCAGAUGCUGCAGAUAAAUUGGAGCGGUUAAGGGAGAGGAUGAUAAAAGUAAGAGAGCUUUUUCGUGACACAACCUCAACAGAAUUUAUCAUAGUAACAAUCCCCACGUCACCAUGUGCCCUUCAGGUUAUGGCAAUUAGCGAAUCGUCCAGGUUGUGUGCUUCCUUAAAGAUGGAAGAUGUUCCUGUCAAGAGGCUUAUUGCUAAUCAGAUCCUCCCGCCAUCAGCCUCAGAUUGCAAGUUCUGCGCAAUGAAAAGAAAGUAUCACAGGACCAAAGUCGUGCUCUGGAUAUGAUCCAGAAUGACCCAGAGCUCUCUAGCCUGAUGUUGGUCCAGGCACCCCUUGUUGAUGUAGAGAUCAGAGGUGUUCCAGCUCUUCAGUUUUUAGGGGACAUUGUCUGGAAAUAAAGAAAAAGAACUAGACACUGCAUCAGCUAAUCAGAUGUUUCCAGUCACAUUUGCCAACAAACUGCAUUGAUGGACUAUGAGCACCCAAGUCUUUUGAUGGUCUUGCUCUAACUAAUGAACAGAAAUACAUGCGAUACUCGUGUUAUUUUACUAAGGUACAGGAAAAUACAAAGUGGGAGUUGUUGAGAUGAGUCAACAAAAAAUGGGCUGAAAAGAAUUGUUUGUUUUCAUAUUAGUGACUUGACAUUUGAAAUAAAAAAGAACAUGGCAAAGCACUAGUGAAACAAGUAAACUGGAUGUCAAUCUCCCGUUUAUUUUCUUUUUCUUUUUUGCGGACAUAGUGAACUUGUUUUGUUGUAUAAAAUGGGUUGUACGAUGCUUUGUAUUUUGUGGAUUUCGAAACUGCUAAGAAAAGACUUGUGACUGUGCGUAUAUAGAUAUGCUUCUGCCUU